rnacentral:rRNA from 1 species
GGUUACUGCUAUCGGAGUUCGAGUAAGCCAUGCGAGUCUAAAGGUUUCUUCGGAAACCUUGGCGGACUGCUCAGUAACACGUGGAUAACCUACCCUUAGGACUGGAAUAACCCCGGGAAACUGGGGAUAAUACUGGAUAGAUCAGGGAUGCUGGAAUGCACCUUGAUCCAAAGCUCCGACGCCUAAGGAUGGGUCUGCGGCCUAUCAGGUUGUAGUGGGUGUAACGUACCUACUAGCCGACGACGGGUACGGGUUGUGAGAGCAAGAGCCCGGAGAUGGAUUCUGAGACACGAAUCCAGGCCCUACGGGGUGCAGCAGGCGCGGAACCUUUACAAUGUGCGAAAGCAUGAUAAGGGGACUCCGAGUGCCAGCAUCUAAUGCUGGCUGUCCCUGUGCCUAAAAAGCACAAGAUAGCAAGGGCCAGGUAAGACCGGUGCCGGCCGCCGCGGUAACACCGGCGGCCCGAGUGGUAGCCGCUAUUAUUGGGUCUAAAGGGUCCGUAGCCGGUUCGGUAAGUCCUUUGGGAAAUCUGGUUGCUUAACAAUCAGACUGCCAAGGGAUACUGCUGAACUUGAGACCGGGAGAGGUAAGAGGUACUUCAGGGGUAGGAGUGAAAUCUUGUGAUCCCUGGGGGACCAUCUGUGGCGAAGGCGUCUUACCAGAACGGGUCUGACGGUGAGGGACGAAAGCUGGGGGCGCAAACCGGAUUAGAUACCCGGGUAGUCCCAGCCGUAAACGAUGCUCGCUAUGUGUCAGGUACGGUGCGACCGUAUCUGGUGCCGUAGGGAAGCCGUGAAGCGAGCCACCUGGGAAGUACGGUCGCAAGACUGAAACUUAAAGGAAUUGGCGGGGGAGCACUACAACGGGUGGAGCCUGCGGUUU